AAAUAACAAAAGUGUAUAACGAAGAAGUUGAUGACGGCAAAGCAGUGUGAGUUUUUCCUCAACACGUCCAGAUCCAUCUUCCCCCCUUCCUCAGUGAACAGUUUUCUAUAUCCCUUUGUUGUAAGAGAUUAAGGACGCAGUGGCACUGGACAUUAACACACCUAGGCCAGGUCAUGGCCUCCCAAUUUCGGCAAACGACAUGAACUCCGUCGGCGGCGUCUCUGGUUGACGCAUGGAAAUACGGCCGAAGUUUUGGAGUCAAGUGGCCAGAUUGGAGAAACAGUCAUUGAAACUCAAGAAAGUGUAAUUGAUCUUGUUUAAUUACUUUACGUUUUGGAGUCAAGUGGCCAGAUUGGAGAAACAGUCAUUGAGACUCAAGAAAGUGUAAUUGAUCUUAUUUAAUUACUUUACGCACAAGUAUGGAGUUACAGUUUUAACUGUUAGAUUAUGUUCACAGAUGCAACUUGGGGAUGGGACACAACCAGAGCUUUGUGGAGCUGUAGGUGGGGAAUCUGGUUUUCAAUCCCAAGGAUGAUGUCCAUAUGGAGCUGUUAACUACAAGUAUUGUUAGGACGUGUUUUUUUCUUAGUGGAACUUUAAUGGAAAAUUAAUUCAGUCCCUCGGAUAUGUUUCUCUGUUUUUCCUGCAGAAAUAAUGAUGUAUAUCUGAAAAUGGGAUUGGACAGCACUUUGGACAUGUUAGGACUGAAGAUUUAUGGAAAUACUUUCAUUCGAUGGUUUUGUCUUUUGUUGGUGUAUUUGUUUACUCUCAAGUUAGAGAAGUACAAUACAUUGUUUCUAUUUUAGUUUGGAAACUGAACUGGUGUAUGUCAUUCCAUGGUUGUAUGUUGAGUUGUAAGUGUUAAUUAAUACUUGUGAAGUAGGGAUUAUGUUAUUUAUAUGCAAUGGAAUGAGGUGCUGCUUGGGCAGCCCAAACUAUGUUUUGUUAAAGUUAAAUAAGGGACUUGAAUGAGGUUCUAAUUAUA